GACGGAGGAUGCAAGUGUUAUCCGGAAUCACUGGGCGUAAAGCGUCUGUAGGUGGUUUAAUAAGUCAACUGUUAAAUCUUGAGGCUCAACCUCAAAAUCGCAGUCGAAACUAUUAGGCUAGAGUAUAGUAGGGGUAAAGGGAAUUUCCAGUGGAGCGGUGAAAUGCGUAGAGAUCGGAAAGAACACCAACGGCGAAAGCAUUCUGCUGGGCCGACACUGACACUGAGAGACGAAAGCUAGGGGAGCGAAUGGG
rnacentral:rRNA from 1 species